CCCUCAGAUGUCCGGGGCCGCACGCGCGCUACACUGAAGGAAUCAGCGUGGCUUUCUCCCUGACCCGAAAGGGUUGGGAAACCCGUUGAAUCUCCUUCGUGAUAGGGAUUGGGGCUUGAAAUUGUUCCCCAUGAACGAGGAAUUCCCAGUAAGCGCGAGUCAUAAGCUCGCGUUGAUUACGUCCCUGCCCUUUGUACACACCGCCCGUCGCUACUACCGAUUGAACGGUUUAGUGAGGGCCUCGGAUUGGUCUCGGCCCGCUCUUUACCGGGCGGCGCCGUUGGUCGAGAAGACGCUCGAACUUGAUCGUUUAGAGGAAGUAAAAGUCGUAACA
rnacentral:rRNA from 1 species